AGAUUGAAUAGUCAAUAUUAAAUGUCAGGCGUGUGUGUGUGUGUGUGUGUGUGUGUGUGUGUGUGUGUGUGUGUGUAUUCUCUGGGCGAAAGGGCCAAAACUUUUAUCAGAUUAUGAUAGAAGUUUAUAAAUUUAAAAUAGUUAAUAAUUACUGCUUUAUGACUUGAUUAAAAACAGUAACAACAUCUCAUAAAUUAAGCUAACAUUCAAAUAUCUUUAAGAUGACUGAAUUCGUUUAUUUUCAUCAAGUGUCAUCUUUUUCUAUAUAAAGGAAUGAUACACUGUGAUUCUGAGGCAAGUUCAUAGGAGUGGUUAAUCUAACCCUGCUAUCAAUCUUUCACGGUACCCUCAAAUUGUUUCCCAUCACCAAUCACCAUCCAUCUCAUCAAUAUAAAGGGUGACUCCUAUGAGGACAGCAGAAUAAGGGGGAGCCAAUCUACCCUCCCUCUCUCCUAAGAUGAGCAGAAAAGCUUUCACAGGGAAAACUAUUCUCCUAUGCCUGACAUCUCUCACAUGGACCGAUCUGGAAAGAAGAGAACAGAGUGUAAGUAGUGUGCCUGUUCCUACAGAAGAACCACAACCAGCUGUUCCUUACGGGGCCCAGCCAGAUAAAAAGCAAGUUAGUGCAGCUCUCACAAGAAUAUCUUCUAUUGCUAAUCACAUAUUACUGCCCAAUGCUGCAACUGCUCUGCAUAACAACUUCCCUUGCAGUCCUGGGGAAUUUUGAUCUCGGAUUAGUGAAGAAUUGAAGCAAAUUUCAGGGCUAUUUCUCAUCUCCGACUGAAACUUGGUGAAACGAAGGCAAUAGGAGGUCAGUCCAGAGCUGGUGGAAGAGCUCAGUCUGCACAGGCAAGGUGAGAAAGGGGCCCAGAAGUCAUCUUUAUGCUUCAUUAUGGUGACGUGCAUAGAUAAUUCAUUAAUCUGCAUUAAAAACUCUCUCUUCUAAAACAAUUUAGAGAAUACACCUAAGUGACUAAAACGGUCCAGUCCUCAUCAAUGCCUCCCUGACAAAUGUUUCAAGAAGUAAUUAUAAUAAAUAUGUCAGGGAAAUUUAUCACGGCAAACACAUCCAUUUUUUAAAAAAAUUCAUUCUUUAGCAGUUUGAAAUGAUAUUUAUUGAUUUUUCUCCAAACAGAAAGUUACAAGGAGACACCAGGUUGUGAUCCAUCCCAUGAGAAAACAUUCUUAUUGAAGGCCCACAUGUUUGUGUUAUAAUCCAAAUGGGAACUUGGAGGACCAGAAGGUAGAAUUAAUCAGGAUAAAAAACACGUUCUGGCCACUGUAACAUUUCCUUCUGGACUAACUCCCAAUCCAGAUCCUCUCUCCUUUCUUCUUACCAGCAGCCCACAGUGAAAUUACUCCUCAUUUUUCAACCCCCAUAUGCUCAGGGUUAUUUACUUCUAUUUUCCCCAAGGCCAAUCCUCUCGCCAAUCACAAUACUUAUCCCAUCAUUGUGUGUGUUAGAGCUUUGCCCAAGUACGUUCUUCAGAUCCCAAAGUCCAAGGAUAUUAAUAGGUGUACAAUAAAUACUUGUUUAAUAAAUAAAUGCCAAGUAUGUGCUGUGAAUUGUGUUUGUGUACCUGGCACCAACUUUACACUGCUUUCAUAAAGUUGAUAUCAAGAGGCUAUUUAAAAACAAAAAAAAGGACUCAUAGCUAAAUAAUUCUGGGAACCAUUCGAUUUGUUUUUUAAAAAAAAGGUCAGUAGAGAAGCCUUUCUCAAACUAUUUACAGGCAUUGUACUUUAUGUACUGCUGAUUUCAAGAAGAUUGAAUAACCAUGGAAUCAUUUCUCUAUUUGAAGGAGUUAUACCAUGAGAAUACUCUACAGGAACACAAUAUGAGCAAUGCUGCUUUCUUGGUUUGCAAGACACUGUUCUCUUUUUUUGAUUCUCUGCUUACUUCUCUGAACAUUCAUUGUUUCCAUAAACACACCUUCUUUUGCUUGCUAUUUCUUUAAAUUAUAACCAAUUUUAUGCUUGUCUUCUUAUAUAUACUCUUCUCUGUACUCCUCCAAGCACCUGUGUUUUUUAACUCUUUGAAAUAACUUUAGACAUUACCCCAACUGGCAUUGGGGUAAACAAAUUAAUUAUAUUUGUAAAAAUGUUACAAAUAUAGGAGAUAAUUCAUACAUAUCAUUCAUGUAUCUUCUCUACCAUUGACAUCUUGUACAAUCACAGCAGUUAUCAAAGCCAAGAAAUUAAUGUUGCUCCAACAGUACUAACUAAAGAAUUUAUUUGGAUUUUCCCAGCUGUUUCACUAAUGUUCUUUUUCUGUUCUGGAAUCCAACCCCCAGGGCCUACAUUACAUUUAGUAAUCACGUCUUCUUCAUCUCCUCUGAUCUCUGAUAGUUCCUCAGUCUUCCAUGACCUAGAUACUUUUGAAGAGUCCUGGUCAGUUAUUUUGCCGAACGUCCCUUAGUUUGGGGUUGUCUGAUGUUAUCUCCUGACCAGAUUUAUUUAUGUGGUUUUGGCCAGAAUAACAUAGAAUCCAUGUGCAUUGUAUCAGGAGGUAUAAGAUGUGGAUGUAUCUUAGUACUGACGAGUUUUACCUUGAUCCCUUGGUUAAGGUGCUAUCUGCCAGGUUUCUCCACUGGAAAGUUAUUAUCUUUCCUUAAGUAAUUAAUAAAUAACCUGGGGGAGAUCUUUUAGAAUAUGCAAAUCUCUUAUUUCUCCUUGAACUUUUGCUCGCCAAUUUUAGCAUUAAGGGUGGAUCCUGCUUGCAACAAAUAUAAUUGAGUGUUCUAAUUUUUUGGUUUGUUUCUGUUUUGCCUUUUCUUACUGAUUAUCUGACACCACAAGAUACUUCAUGCUUAUCUUGAAUUUUCUCUGCCCCAGUUCUGAACUCCACCACUUCCCCAAGGUACCCUAGUUCCUUCUAUUGGAAAAUGAUAUUUAAAAUGUAAGAUCUGAUCUUUGUCUCUGUAGUUUCGUUCUUUCCAGAACAUUAUAUAAAUGAAAUAAUAGAGUUUAUAGCUUUUUGAUUGUGGCUUUUUUCACUUAGCAUAUUUUUUCUGAGAUUCAUCCAUUUUGCUUCAUGCAUCAGAAAUUCAUUUCUUUUUGUAGCUGAGUAGUGUUCCACUGCAUGAAAGUAACAAUUUGUUCAUCCGCUCACCUGUAGGUGAAGACUUCAGUUGUUUCAUUUGGAAUGACUAUGAAUAAAGUUGCUGUAAACAGUUGCAUACAGGCCUGGUGUGUGCACAGUCUGUAGUUCUCUUGAGUAAAUACUCAGGAAUAGAAUUACUGGGUCUAUGGUAAAGGAAUGUCUAACUUUACAAGAAACUGACAAACUGUUUUCCAAAGUAGCUGCUCCGUUUCACAUUUCCACCAGCACUGUAUGAGACUUCCAAUUGCCCCCAUACUGGCCUCACUUAGUUUUGGAAGUGAGGGGAGGGGAUUGGUAACAAAAGAGCACAAGGGUAUAUUUUGAGGUGGUGAAACUAUUCUUUCUCUUGAUUAUCAUGGUGCUGAUGGAAUUGUAGACAUGGUUGAGUAUCAUAAAACUGUACACUAAAAUGGGUAUAUUUUACUCUAUACAAAUUAUACCUAAAUAAACCUGAACUCAUUCCCCCCAAAAUACAAGAUCUGAGUAAGAGGUACAUUCAUUGUUGUGGGGUGUCAUUGUUUCUAAGCCCUCUCCAGGGACAGAACUCAAAAAUAUGUGUAUGCAUAACAACUAUACACACAAAUUUAGAUUUAUUUUUGUACCCAUCUCUGCAUAUAUAUGUAUAUAUUUGUAAUGCCCACAUGCUUUUUAAAACAUGAGUUCACACGGAUACCACCAAGCUCCCUCCAACACCCCAGGGUUUAUUCUAGCCUUCCCUCUUUAUAUGUAGAUUCUUUCUCUUACAAUGAAAAGCUCAGUUCUCAUUAUCUACAAUGCAUUUACUAAUGUAUUCAACCCUAAAUAUAUACAUAUAAAGUAGCUUCAGAAUUGCUAACAUAUAACCUUAUUAGAAAUAAAUUUACUAGAGUUUAACAUUUUGCUCUAUUCUUUUUGCCUUUGGGCUUAUAGUAUCAAGUCAAAGUAAUGCUUUUAAAGUAACUGGUUUGUUCCUGCCCCACAUGUUGUGUGGUUGUGAUACUCAUCUAUAAUAGAGUUAGUUUCAUUUGUUACAAUUCGUAUUCCAUUUGAGUUCCCCAAAUAUCUUGUGUGUGCACGUUAAGUUACAUAGAUUAAAACUCACCCUCAUGUUGUACAAUUUCGUAUAUUUUGACAAAUGGAUAAAAUCACGUAUUAACUACCAAGAUUUUAAUACAGAAUGAUUUCAUCACCCCAGAAAUUCCUUUGUGGUAUCCUUUUGCAAUCAGCCCCUCCCACCUAAUUCUAACCUCUGGCAGCUACUAACUUGAUCUGUACCUCUGUAAGUAUGCCUGUUACAGAAUGUCUUAUAAGUGGCAUUAUUUGGUAUUAGUCCCUUGAGUUUUGGCUUCUUUGACGUAGCAAAAUGCAUUUAAGAUUUAUUCACAUUGUUGCAUAGAUCAAUACUUCCUUUCUUUUUAUCAGUGAGUAGUACUCAAUUGUACGGAUAUACCACACUUAUUUAUCAAUUUACCAGUUGAAAGUUACCUAAGUAGUUUCCAGCUUUUGAUGCUUACAAAUGAACCUGCUAUAAAUGUUCCUGUACAGGUUUUUAUGUGAGCACACCUUUUCAUUUCUCUUGAGUAAAUACCCAGGGACGAGAUGCCUGGACCAUGUGGGAGAUACAUGUUUAACAUUAUCAGAAAGUUCUCACUUUCCCAUGGGAGAUGAAACAUUUUGCAUUACCACAAGUAAAGAAAUCCAGUUGCUCUGUGACGUUGCUUGAACUUUGUGUGGUCAGCUUGUUGUUUUGUUGUUGUUCUUUAGCUAUUCUAAUAAUACUCAUAGAGUGGUAUUUCAUUGUGGUUGGAAGUUUUGCAUUUCCAUAAUGACUAAUGAUAUUGAGAAUCUUUGCAUGUGUUUGUUUUGCAUCCACACAUCUGUAGUUAAGUUUCUGUUUACAUCUGUUUCCUCAUUGUUGACUGGGUUGGUCAUUUUCUUACUGUUAGGAUUUAAGAGCUCAUUACAUGUCUAGAGUCCUUUGUCAGAAAUGUAAUUUGCAAAUACUCUUUACCAGCCUGUGGCUGUCUUUGUAUUCUUUCAACAAUUUUAAAAUUAUAACAAAGUCCAGUUAGUGAUUCUUUCCUUUUAUGAAUAUUGCUUUUGAUGUUGUAUCUAAGUCUCAAUGUCACACAAAUAUUUUCCCAAUUUUUUAAAGAAAUUUUCAUAGAUUAAAUUUACACGUGAGUCUAUAAUUUUUAAUUAGUAUUUCUAUGGGUGGGCAUUUAUUUUUCAUACGCAUGUCCCGUCUUCCCAGCACCAUUUGUUGGAAAGACUGCCUUUCCUCUGUAAAAUUACUUUGCAUCUUUGCAACAAGUCAGUUGGUUAUAUUUAUGUGAGUCUAUUUCUGGACUCUAAUCUGUUUAAUUGAACUGUAUAUCUAUCUGUAUUAGUCUGUUCUCAUGCUGCUAACAAAGACAUACCCAGGACUGGGUAAUUUAUAAAGAAUAGAGGUUUAAUUGACUCCCAGUUCAGCACAGCUGGGGAGGCCUCAGGAAACUUACAAUCAUGGUGGAAGGGGAAGCAAACACGUCCUUCUUCAUGUGACGGCAGCAAGGAAACGUGCCAAGCAAAGGGGGAAAAGCCCCAUAUAAAACCAUCACGCCUCAGGAGGACUCAUUCACUAUCACGGGGACAGCAUGGAAGUGACUGCCCCCAUGAUUCAAUUACCUCCCACCAGGUCCCUCCCACCACACUUGGGGAUUACAGGAACUAUAAUUCAAGAUGAGAUUUGGGUGUGGACACAGCCAGACCAUAUCACUAUCCUUUGGCAAUACCACACCGUGUUGAUUGCUGUGGUUAUAAAAUACAUCUUGAAAUCAAGUAUGAGUAUCCCCAUUAUGUUAUUUCCUUUCCAAUUUUGUGGGUAGCUAUUUUAGUUCCUUGGCCUUGCACAUUUUAUAAUGAACUUGUCAGUAUCUGUAAAAAUCACUUUGAGAUUUCAAUUCAGAUUGCAUUGAACAAACAUAUAAUGUUGGGGAUAAUUGACAUCUUACCGAUAUUAGAUCUCCCAAACAAAGAAAACAGUAUAUUCCCCCAAUGAUUUAGCUUUUUGUUAAAUUUCUUUAAUCAGUUUUAUACAUUUCAGCAUACAUACAGAUCCUGUAAAUAUUUUUUAGAUUUAGUCCAAAGUGUUUCAUUUUUAUGCUAUUUUGAAUGGUAAUUUUUAAACUUUGAAUUAACAUAUGCACUGCUAGAACAUAGAAAAACAAUUAAUUUUUGUGUUUUGACCUUGAAUCUUGUGACCUUGCUAAACUCACUAAUUAGUUCUAGAACAUGUUUUGUGGAUUUCUCGGGUUUUGCCAUGUAGAAAGUUAUUUUGUCUGCAGAUAGAGGCAGUUUUAUUUCUUAUGUUCAAAUUUUGAGGCCUUUAUUUCUUUUCCUGACUUCUCUACCAACCUGUGGUAAUAAGUAAAUAAAAUACUAUUAAUAAAUAAUUUUCGUAACUAGGACUUCUAGUAUGAUGCUAAACAGGAGUGGAUCUUUUGGAUUAACCACUCAGUUUUCACCAUUAAGAAUUAUGUUAGCUGUAACUUGUUUAUAGAAACCCUUCAUCAAGUUAAAUAAGUUCCACUCUAUUCCUACCAUACUGAGAAUUGUCUAUCACGAGUGGAUAUUAUAAUUUAUUUUCAAAUUCAAUUUUUGUGUCUAUUGCAAUAAUCAUAUAGUUUUCUUGUUUGCUCUACUAAUGUGAAUCACACUGAUUGAUUUCCAAAUACUGAACAAGCCUUGCAUGCUUGGAACAAACUUGACUUGGUUGUGAUGUGUUACUCUUUUUAUAUAUUGCUGGAUUGUAUUUGCUAGUAUUUUAUUGAGAAUAUGUGUGUGUUUGUUCAUGAGGGAUAUUGGUUUUUAGUUCUCUUUUAAUCUUUUGCCUGUUUCUGGUAUUACAUUAGUGAUGGCCUCAUUAAUUGAGUUGAGAAGUGUUCUAUCUUCUCUGCUUUUUAGAAUAUGUUGAAUAACAUUUUAUUACUUUUUUUUUUCCAAGACAGGGUCUUGCUCUGUUACCCAGAGCACUGCUGGAGUGCAGUGGUGCAAUCAUAGCUCACUGCAGCCUUGAACUCCUGGGCUCAAGAGAUCCUCCUGGGCUCAAGGGAUCCUAAGUAGCUACGAUUGCAGGUGCAUAUCACCACGUCCAGUUAACUUAAAAAUUUUUCAUAGAAACGACGUCUCGCUCUGUUGCCCAGGCUGGUUUUGAACUCCUGGCCUCAAGUGAUCCUCCCACCUCAGCCUCCCAAAGAGUCAGGAUUAUAGGCAUGAGCCAUCAUACCUGGCCCCUAUUUAUUCCUUAAAUACCGACAGAAUUCCAAGUAAAACCCUCUGUUCCUGAAGUUUCCUUUUUGGAAGAAUAUUAACUAUUCCUUCAAUUUAUUUAAUUGAUAACCUUAGGUCACAUUUGGCAAGCUUCCAAAUUACCCACGUGGUGAUGGUCUUAUGAUUCAUGGUGAACCUUUUGUCCUUGAAUAAGGAAUCCUCAAAUUUUAUUGUCAGUUCCUCACACGAUUGACAUAUCGAUUAACAUGUAAACAACUGACACACAGACACUGCUGAUUUGUUCUAGAAUCAUGAAGUUUUACUGAUUGUCUUGCACACAGACAUUUUAGCCUGUAUGUUGCAAUCUCUUGCCAAUGAUCUUAACCUCUGUAUUGUACCUUCCGGUGAAAAGGACAACUCUGAUAUGAGGAGUCACCUUUCCUUCUCCCAAACUUCCUUAUAAAAGCCUUCGGACUUGUAGCAGACUUUGGAACAUACCCACUUUGCUGAUGUGUCUUCCCCAGUCAAUCCUCAUAUGUGGCUUCCAGUAAGCCUUUACUAAAUUUUUUCUGCCUAAACAGCCUUAAUUUCAGUCAACAUAAUUGGUACAAACAUAUUCUGCUUGCCUAUUUCUUGAGUUAUAUUUGGCAGUUAUGGCUUUUAUAAGCUUAUGGGCAUAGAAUUGUUCAUUUAAUUUCUCUUUUAUAUUUUAAAUUUAUGUCUUUUAUUUUCUCUUGGUGAGUUCAGUUACAGGUUUAUCAAUUUUAUUGGUCUUUAAAAAUUACCAGUUUUCGGUUUAAUUGAUUUUCUCUAUUGAUUUUUUAUUUUCUUUUUUUUUUUUUGUCUUUGUUGCCAUCUUUAUUAUUUCUUUCCUUCUGCUUGCCUUGGGUAAAACUUGCUUUUCCUCUUGUUUCUUAAGAGGGAAGCUUAGAUCAUUGAUUUAAGAUCUUUCUUCUUUUCCAGCAUAAGAAUUUAGUUGUAUAAAUUUUCCUCUAAGCAUGGCUUUGUUCAUUACACAAAUUCUGAUAUAGUUUAUUUACACUUUGAUGUAGUUCAAAUUAUUUUUAAAUUCCUUGAAACUUUCUUUUUGACAUGCAGGUUAUUUAGAAACAUGUUUAAUUCCCAAGUAUUUAGGAAUUUUCUAGAUACCUAUUGGAUAUUAACUUCUAAUUUAAAUCCCUAGCAAUUUGAGAUCAUAUUUCAUGUGCCUUCUGUUCUUUCAGAUUUGGUGAGGUUUAUUUUAUGGCCCAGAAUAUAGUCUAUCUUGGUGAAUAAUCCAGAUGUUCUUGCAUACUAACUUACAAAUGUCAUUAGGUAAAUUGAGUUAACAGUAGUCUUUCCAAAUUCUUACCAAUAUUAUGCCUGCUUUAAAAAAAUAUAUAUAUAUAUAUAAAAUACACAUACACACACAGACACACACACACACACACACACAC
rnacentral:lncRNA from 1 species